rnacentral:rRNA from 1 species
AGCCUCGGUCCAGACUGCUACGGCAGCAGGCAGUCGGGGAAUAUUGCACAUCGGGGGCAAAUCGUGAUGCAGCGACGCAGCGUGCGGGAUGACCGCCUUCGGGUUCUUAACCGCUUUCAGCAGGGAAGAAGCGAAAGUGACGGUACCUGCAGAAGAAGUACCCGGCUAACUACGUGCCAGCAGCCGCGGUAAUACGUAGGGUACGAGCGUUGUCCGGAAAUUAUUGGGCGUAAAGAGCUCGUAGGUGGUUGGUCACGUCUGCUGUGGAAACGCAACGCUCAACGUUGCGCGUGCAGUGGGUACGGGCUGACUAGAGUGCAGUAGGGGAGUCUGGAAUUCCUGGUGUAGCGGUGAAAUGCGCAGAUAUCAGGAGGAACACCGGUGGCGAAGGCGGGACUCUGGGCUGUAACUGACACUGAGGAGCGAAAGCACGGGGAGCGAACAGGAUUAGAUACCCUGGUAGUCCAUGCCGUAAACGUUGGGCACUAGGUGUGGGGGACAUUCCACGUUCUCCGCGCCGUAGCUAACGCAUUAAGUGCCCCGCCUGGGGAGUACGGUCGCAAGGCUAAAACUCAAAGGAAUUGACGGGGGCCCGCACAAGCGGCGGAGCAUGCGGAUUAAUUCGAUGCAACGCGAAGAACCUUACCAAGGCUUGACAUACACUGGACCGUUCUGGAAACAGUUCUUCUCUUUGGAGCUGGUGUACAGGUGGUGCAUGGUUGUCGUCAGCUCGUGUCGUGAGAUGUUGGGUUAAGUCCCGCAACGAGCGCAACCCUCGUUCUAUGUUGCCAGCACGUGAUGGUGGGAACUCAUAGGAGACUGCCGGGGUCAACUCGGAGGAAGGUGGGGAUGACGUCAAAUCAUCAUGCCCUUUAUGUCUUGGGCUUCACGCAUGCUACAAUGGCUGGUACAGAGAGAGGCGAACCCGUGAGGGUGAGCGAAUCCCUUAAAGCCAGUCUCAGUUCGGAUCGUAGUGUGCAAUUCGACUACGUGAAGUCGGAGUCGCUAGUAAUCGCAGAUCAGCAACGCUGCGGUGAAUACGUUCCCGGGCCUUGUACACACCGCCCGUCAAGUCACGAAAGUCGGUAACACCCGAAGCCGGUGUCCCAA